AAAAAAAAAAAAAAAAAGUUGGAACAGUUCCUUGAGGAUAUUAAGAACCUGUUCACAUAACGAGCAUGCUUUAUAAGAAGCUGUUCACAUAAAGAUAAUAAGAACAAUGGUUUAAAAGACGGAUUAGGUAUCAUGGUGGGGAUUGUGAUACGACUGAUCCAUUAGGAGCCUCGUCUGAAGUGUUA
rnacentral:ribozyme from 1 species